AGCAGCCGCGGUAAUUCCAGCUCCAAUAGCGUAUAUUAAAGUUGUUGCAGUUAAAAAGCUCGUAGUUGAAUUUCGAGAUCAAAUUGUUGGUCGUGCCUCGGUACGUACUGGCAUUAUUGAUUUCUCCUUUCUGAAGAACCUUGAUGUCAUUAAUUUGGUGUCUUGGGGAAUCAGGACCGUUACUUUGAAAAAAAUUAGAGUGUUUAAAGCAGGCUCACGCUUGAAUACAUUAGCAUGGAAUAAUGAAAUAGGACGUUUGAUUCUAUUUUGUUGGUUUCUAGGAUCGACGUAAUGAUUAAUAGGGAUAGUUGGGGGCAUUAGUAUUCAAUUGUCAGAGGUGAAAUUCUUGGAUUUAUUGAAGACUAACUACUGCGAAAGCAUUUGCCAAGGAUGUUUUCAUUAAUCAAGAACGAAAGUUAGGGGAUCGAAGACGAUCAGAUACCGUCGUAGUCUUAACCAUAAACUAUGCCGACUAGGGAUCGGAUGAUGUUAAUUUUUAAUGU
rnacentral:rRNA from 1 species